rnacentral:rRNA from 1 species
UUCCGGUUGAUCCUGCCGGAGGUCAUUGCUAUCGGAGUCCGAUUUAGCCAUGCUAGUCGCGCGGGUCAGACCCGCGGCGAACAGCUCAGUAACACGUGGCCAAACUACCCUGUGGACCGGGAUAACCUCGGGAAACUGAGGCCAACCCCGGAUACGGUACCCACGCUGGAACGCCGGGUAUCGCAAACGCUCCGGCGCCACAGGAUGUGGCUGCGGCCGAUUAGGUCGACGGUGGGGUAACGGCCCACCGUGCCGAUAAUCGGUACGGGUUGUGAGAGCAAGAGCCCGGAGACGGAAUCUGAGACAAGAUUCCGGGCCCUACGGGGCGCAGCAGGCGCGAAACCUUAACACUGCACGUCAGUGCGAUUAGGGGACUCCGAAUGCGAGGGCAUACCGUCCUCGCUUUUCCGCACGGUAAGGUCGUGCUGGAACAAGGGCUGGGCAAGACCGGUGCCAGCCGCCGCGGUAAUACCGGCAGCCCGAGUGAUGACCGCUAUUAUUGGGCCUAAAGCGUCCGUAGCCGGCCGGACGGGUCCAUCGGGAAAUCCACGUGCUCAACGCGUGGGCGACCGGUGGAAACCAUCCGGCUUGGGGCCGGAAGACCCAGGGGGUACGUCCGGGGUAGGAGUGAAAUCCCGUAAUCCUGGACGGACCGCCGAUGGCGAAAGCACCCUGGGAAGACGGACCCGACGGUGAGGGACGAAAGCUGGGGUCUCGAACCGGAUUAGAUACCCGGGUAGUCCCAGCCGUAAACGAUGCCCGCUAGGUGUGGCUCCGGCUACGAGCCGGUGCUGUGCCGCAGGGAAGCCGCUAAGCGGGCCGCCUGGGAAGUACGUCCGCAAGGAUGAAACUUAAAGGAAUUGGCGGGGGAGCACUACAACCGGAGGAGCCUGCGGUUUAAUUGGACUCAACGCCGGAAAUCUUACCAGCCCCGACAGUGGGAAUGACGACCAGCUUGAUGAGCUUGUCCGACCCACUGAGAGGAGGUGCAUGGCCGCCGUCAGCUCGUACCGUGAGGCGUCCUGUUAAGUCAGGCAACGAGCGAGACCCGCACUCCUAAUUGCCAGCGACGGCGCGAGCCGGUCGGGUACAUUAGGAGGACUGCCGCCGCCAAGGCGGAGGAAGGAACGGGCAACGGUAGGUCAGUAUGCCCCGAAUGGGCUGGGCUACACGCGGGCUACAAUGGCCGGGGCAAUGGGUUCCCACCCCGAGAGGGGGCGGUAAUCUCCGAAACCCGGUCGUAGUUCGGAUUGAGGGCUGAAACCCGCCCUCAUGAAGCUGGAUUCGGUAGUAAUCGCGUGUCACUAGCGCGCGGUGAAUACGUCCCUGCUCCUUGCACACACCGCCCGUCAAAGCACCCGAGUGGGGUCCGGAUGAGGCCUGCUCAGCAGGUCGAAUCCGGGCUCCGCAAGGGGGCUUAAGUCGUAACAAGGUAGCCGUAGGGGAAUCUGCGGCUGGAUCACCUCCUU